rnacentral:lncRNA from 1 species
UUGCUCUCUGGAAAGAACUCAAUAUAUAAGCUCCACAACAAGUAAGACUUGAGAUGGCACACUUGGAACAGUCAGAAUGAGUUUGGUGAGGUAUGCUAAUCAAGAGAGGAAAGGAGCACAAUUCAUUUCUGAAUUGGUUAUCAAAUUCUUCUUGUAAGUGACACGAUUGAAACUGUCAAUUGGCUUUGCAACCUGCUGAGUCCAUAUUUCUACAUCUGUGAAAGCUCAGCAAAUGAGACCUUCUCAGCAAAG